AGAGUUUGAUCAUGGCUCAGGACGAACGCUGGCGGCGUGCUUAACACAUGCAAGUCGAACGAAGCUUGAUUACGGAUUCUUCGGAUGAAGUAUGAUAUGACUGAGUGGCGGACGGGUGAGUAACGCGUGAGUAACCUGCCCUUCAGAGGGGGAUAGCGUUUGGAAACGAACGGUAAUACCGCAUAAUGUAUUUUGACCGCAUGAUCGAAAUACCAAAGAUUUAUCGCUGAAGGAUGGACUCGCGUCUGAUUAGGUAGUUGGUGGGUAACGGCCUACCAAGCCGACGAUCAGUAGCCGGACUGAGAGGUUGAUCGGCCACAUUGGGACUGAGACACGGCCCAGACUCCUACGGGAGGCAGCAGUGGGGAAUAUUGCACAAUGGGCGCAAGCCUGAUGCAGCAACGCCGCGUGAAGGAAGACGGUUUUCGGAUUGUAAACUUCUGUUCUUAGUGAAGAAUAAUGACGGUAGCUAAGGAGCAAGCCACGGCUAACUACGUGCCAGCAGCCGCGGUAAUACGUAGGUGGCAAGCGUUGUCCGGAAUUACUGGGUGUAAAGGGAGCGCAGGCGGGUGAUCAAGUCAGCUGCGAAAACUACGGGCUUAACCCGUAGACUGCAGUUGAAACUGUUCACCUUGAGUGAAGUAGAGGUUGGCGGAAUUCCGAGUGUAGCGGUGAAAUGCGUAGAUAUUCGGAGGAACACCGGUGGCGAAGGCGGCCAACUGGGCUUUAACUGACGCUGAGGCUCGAAAGUGUGGGGAGCAAACAGGAUUAGAUACCCUGGUAGUCCACACUGUAAACGAUGAUUGCUAGGUGUGGGGGGUCUGACCCCUUCCGUGCCGGAGCUAACGCAAUAAGCAAUCCACCUGGGGAGUACGACCGCAAGGUUGAAACUCAAAGGAAUUGACGGGGACCCGCACAAGCAGUGGAUUAUGUGGUUUAAUUCGAAGCAACGCGAAGAACCUUACCAGCACUUGACAUCCAACUAACGAAAUAGAGAUAUAUUAGGUGCCCUUCGGGGAAAGUUGAGACAGGUGGUGCAUGGUUGUCGUCAGCUCGUGUCGUGAGAUGUUGGGUUAAGUCCCGGAACGAGCGCAACCCUCGCCAUUAGUUGCUACGCAAGAGCACUCUAAUGGGACCGCUACCGACAAGGUGGAGGAAGGUGGGGACGACGUCAAAUCAUCAUGCCCCUUAUGUGCUGGGCUACACACGUAAUACAAUGGCCAUCAACAGAGAGAAGCAAUACCGCGAGGUGGAGCAAAACUUCAAAAAUGGUCUCAGUUCGGACUGCAGGCUGCAACCCGCCUGCACGAAGUUGGAAUUGCUAGUAAUCGUGGAUCAGCAUGCCACGGUGAAUACGUUCCCGGGUCUUGUACACACCGCCCGUCACACCAUGGGAGCCGGUAACACCCGAAGUCAGUAGUCUAACCGCAAGGAGGACGCUGCCGAAGGUGGGAUUGGCGACUGGGGUGAAGUCGUAACAAGGUA
rnacentral:rRNA from 1 species